UACGUAGGGUGCGAGCGUUGUCCGGAAUUAUUGGGCGUAAAGAGCUCGUAGGCGGUUCGUCGCGUCGGCUGUGAAAUCCCGAGGCUCAACCUCGGGUCUGCAGUCGAUACGGGCGGACUGGAGUUCGGCAGGGGAGACUGGAAUUCCUGGUGUAGCGGUGAAAUGCGCAGAUAUCUGGAGGAACACCGGUGGCGAAGGCGGCAUCCUGGACCGGCAUUGACGCUGAGGAGCGAAAGCCAGGGGAGCAAACGGG
rnacentral:rRNA from 1 species